rnacentral:lncRNA from 1 species
UUUGGUUUCUUGCUCUGGCAGAGGAGGAUGAAACAACGUCGGAGGAGGAGGAGCGAAUUUAUGAACGAGAAGCUCUGUUGUUGUGAACGAACAAGAAGAAUCCAUAUUUUAGAUGGAAAUUGAAUGAGAAGAUUUGUUGAUGUUGUUGUGACUUUCUAGAAAUCAAUCUCAGAGAAGGGAGAAUUUAAUUUUCCAGAAAUCUGAUGAAGGUUUUGAUGUGGAGGUGGAAAGAGGAAUAGAAAGAAGAAGAUGGAUUAGAUGGUGGUGAAUCAAUUUUCUUUUGUUUCAAUUUCCCCAGAGGUUGUGUAGUUAGUGAUAGUUGGGGUUUGAAG